rnacentral:rRNA from 1 species
UCACGAACUGUGAACUCGUUCUCAACCCUAUCUCCCUGGUUCUGCUUCUGCAUGAUUUAUCGCAAGAUAAGUGUAGCAAAAGCGGUUUCAGGCAAACAAACCUAUUAACAAAUUUCACCCCCUUUUUGCUAGUUGACUUUUAUAUGUUGUACACAAAUCAGUUGCUUCGGCAAUCGGCUUAUGCACACACGUUUAUCUAUUUGAACGUUAAAAUUACAACUCUUAGCAAUGGAUAUCUUGGUUCUCGCAACGAUGAAGAACGCAGCGAAAUGCGAUACGUAAUGCGAAUUGCAGAAUUCAGUGAAUCAUCAAAUCUUUGAACGCAAAUUGCGCUCUUGGGUAGCCCUAGGAGCACGCCUCUCUCAGUAUCGGUUCAACAACCUCUCAGCAGCGUAGAUCUCGGUUUACGUGUUGGCUGGAUAAUGAGAGUCUGAAUUUUACUAGUUCAGUCUCUUGAAAUACAUCGAGUAAGUAUCAUCACAUGCCUACGCAUUAUAGAUCUUCGGGUCUAUAGCCAAGUCUCUGACUGGUCUGCACGGUAGUAAGUGACGUGAAUACUGAGCCUUGUGCUCUCACAUUUACGUGUAACUUCUGUCGGGUGACUAUAAUAAAGGUCUAGGAUGAGGUGUCGUUUGGGAGCAGGUGUACUUACGUUAAGCGGCCGCAAAGCUGCAAUCGGCUAAGCAAGUAAAAUUGUGAAGUCUGAAUUUUGAUCUGAGAUGAAGCGAGACAACCCCCUGAAUUUAAGCAUAUUAAUAAGGGGAGGAAAAGAAACUAACAAGGAUUCCCCCAGUAACGGCGAGUGAAGCGGGAAGAGCUCAAUUUGAAAAUCGUCUACCUAAGCGGGUCGACGAGUUGUAGCCUAGAGACGUACUAUCAGCUGAAACCUGGGUAUAAGUUCUUUGGAAUGAGGCAUCAUAGAGGGUGAGAAUCCCGUAUAUGACCCAAAGCUUUCA